UUUUAGCAAGCAGUCUACAUGAGUCAUCGUCUGAAUAGCAAACUCAAUAGAGUAAAAAAAAAAGUCUUCCCUUUUAAAAAGAUUAAUCCCAAUAGAACCCAGGUCCUAAAAGAGGUUGCUUCUUGUCUUGAAAACAUUUUAAGAGGGGGCGAAAAAAUGUAUUUUGCAAGCUCUAGAUAUGUUGAAUGUAUUAUUUUCUAUAACAGUACAUUAAAAGCUUUAGAUUGAAAUUUAUGACUAGCAGACAAAAACAAAAUAGAGUAUUUAAUAUUUGUAAAUAAGUGGCAUGAAAUUGUACAUUUUUUUUUACUUUUUUAAAGUUAUGUUCUUAAAAUAUUGUGCAGGCCUCACCUCUGUUAGAUCUUAAUAUAUUGUUAUAUUCUGUGGAAACAUAUUUAAAGCCUGCAUAUAAAAGAUUAGGAAUCAAUAAAAGCAUAAAAGACAAAGAUAUUGGAUGGAAUUAUACAGAUGGAGAGAAAGCUGGCAAUUUCAAAAAUACUUGAUGCAGAGUAGUGAGUAAAUUGCUCUCUGAUCCAGUUAUAGAGAAAUAUUCAAAUUUAGGCUACUGUGUGGUAGAGAAAAUACUUUUUUUUUUAAAAAGUUCCAGCUAGAAAAUCAUCUGUAUAUCACUGCUAUAUUUGCUGAUACAUAACUGUUAUAAUAAGCAAUGUAAUAUAUGUAGCAUUCAAUACAAAAAAAUCAUACACAAAGAAUGUACAGAAAAUAGAUUUUAUUGAAUAAACUUAUUACAUUUCAUUUUUACUGUAGCAAUAUCUUUGUAGGAAUACUACGUAAGGGCUUAAAAUAUACAAUGUUCAUUUUGCAGGUAUACUAUUUGUUAUUCCCUAGAAAAUAAUUCUAGUCAGUUUCAUUACUGUUGACAAGUUUAGAAAUAAACAUUUAAGUGGCAGGUAUUUUUGAAGUGCUAUGUUUGACUGAAAAGAGUUUUGAACAUAUUUAAUUUAGUAAUACAGAAUUCAUGAGACAUGUUCUGAAUACAUUUAAAAAACCACCACAUGAAACUUUAGCAGAAAUUUUCAGUGACACAGUUGAGUUCCAGUCAUAAAUGUGGGGCAACAUUUGAUUAAGUUUUUUCUCUGAAAGCUUCUAUUUAAUAAAAAGAAAAAAAAAUACUAGUAUGUGUGUAUGUGUAUAUAGAUGUAUAUCUAUACCUAUAUAUGACAUAUAGGUAUAUAUCUACACAUAUUACACAUACAUAAACACAUAUAUAUUCACAUAAAGGGAAUGUUCAACUUACAUAAGAUUUAGUGCUACUUAAAUUUGAGGCACUAAUGUGAAGUUGACCCAAGGAUGUCUCAUGUUCUGCUAUCAUGUGUAGAUAUAUGUACUAAAAACACAAUAAAAUAUGGCUCGUUAACUUCUCUGUAUUUGUUUAUCUUGUUUUGUUUUGUUUGGGGUUUUUUGGGUGUUCAACUACUGUGUUAAUUUAGAGAGUUUUAUGCUCCAAGUUACAGCUAAUUAUUUUUGGUCUGCAUUUUGCACAAUAGAUAUGGAUAUUAAUUAAGUUGUCUGCUUUUUGCUAUGCAACGAUGGCAUUAUAUGACAUCUUUGUUAGUAUAUGUGGGUAGUAUUUUAUUGUAUGAAUUGAUUGCACAGUUUAUUGAAGACCAGAUAUUUUAUGUAGCUUUUCUACAGUGCUUUGCUAAACCAUGUAAUUCUAGUAAGUCUUCCUUGAAUAUAAUGGUACACUCUUAUAGAGGACAGUUCCUGUUUACUCCUGGGAUAAUUUUAAUGAUGACAUUGAAUGUUUAUUGCACCUCAGUGCAGUGAUGUGGCAAUAAAACCUAAAACUAAUAGAGGUUGUUUAUGGCAGACGCAUGCAUUGCUUUACAGAGUUUAGCAAAAGCUCUUUAUGUCAGGCUGUAAUUCUAUUAAAAUAAUAAAGCUAAAAUUAUUCAGUAACAAAAUGAAA
rnacentral:lncRNA from 1 species